AUUGUUUCUAUUGACAGGUGACAAACUAUAAUUUAUUUUAUUUUUUAAUCGUUUUUCUCUUGAAAAUAAUUUUGCUGGUUCAUAAAUGUGCAAGUAAUGCUAACUAGCGACAUAAGCUGACCAAUAUACAUGGCAGAAGAAGACAAAUCUUUUGUGAUAAUGCUGAACCAACCGACAUCAGUGUAGUGCCGGUGGCCGCCCCAGCCCCAAAACACCCUCCAAGCGGUUCAUAUUUACCGGCCAUGGUAAUAUCGGGCUCAAAUUAAAGGGAUUUGGUGCAGCACGAAUUUGAUACCCAUAUUUGAGUCGAAGUGUCUGAGGUGCCAUCCCUCCCAUAAUGAGAACAUUACCCUAGGAAGAACAUUACCACCAGGAACCGAGAAGGGGCAAAUUCUCACACAUCGCCGAGUCCGAACGGCGUCCCGCAGGGCGACACCUCUUUGGGGAACAAUUUUUAAAUGACCAUGCAUGGCAUUGUACCUCGCAAAUAUCGCCAACAUUAAGAGGGGAUAAACACAGCUUUGUCUGAUGUUCUCGCCAGGAUUCGAACGCGUUCAGGGUCAUAGACUACAAUGGCACGAAUUCGAUAUUCGCAUUCAGGGCGAAGUGUCCCCACCCUAAAAAGAUAUUAGAGAGUUAAAGAAGGCGGAGCGGGCCCGGUUCGGCUAGUAAAUUAAUAAAUAUAAAUUUAAACUAAUUUUAAUGCUUUAAGACUGGUACUAUAUUCGUUUUUCGCUUUAUUUUUCGCCGAGUACUUUUUUUAGAUAAUAGAUUUUAAAGCAAAAAAAAAUUGCUGAUUUCUAUAGUAUGACAUUCCCUCAUUACUUAUGUUAAAAUAUUAACAAAAUUUUUAUUUUAUCAUUGUUAUUUGUGAAGUGUUUCAAAAAAGUAAACACGAAAGACAUGAGUUUUCAACGGUUAAAAACGAACAUAGUACCAGCCAUUAUUCAGCUAGAUUUGAAAUUGAGCGAAAAGUUCAACAGUUAUGGACGAAAUUAUUAAAUAUAUAUGUCUAUGUAAUGUUCCUAUUGACAAUGCCCCAUAUAUCCCGAAAUGUCUCUAUAUAUUUCCUAAUGACUUAUCAUUGAAAAUCUAA